UCAUUGAUUGUUUUAUUGAGCCCUAAAUUUCAGAUCGAGCAUAAUUUCAUUUUGAUAAUUUCCGCAAAAUAAAAUACUCCCUCCGAUCUUAAAUAUAAGCAAAAAUUUAAAUGUAUUUGACUUAAAUUUAAUUUGUUUAUACUCCCCCUGGCCACAAAAAUAAGCAAAAGGGCACAUUUUAAAUUCAUUGAAUAACAUAUGUAUCUGGUGGUCUGUAUUAUAUAUAGUCCAGAUACAUAUUAUUCAGAAUCUAAAAAAUGCAAUUUUGCUAAUAAUUAUGACCGAUGGGAGUAUUUAAGAAAAUACAAUACUCCGUCAGGUUCAUUAUUGAAGUAUAUGAUUCACAUAAUAUAGAUCAAUAUAUUAGUUACUCUUAUUCAAUGAAUUUAAAAAAUGAAUCUUGUUUAUAUAUAAUAAGUGUACUAUUUUGUCCUAUCAUUCCUUUUGUAUGGAUAUAUUUUAAAAUUAUUUGUAUAGGUGGUGAAGUAGUAAAUUUGUAUUCAAUAUAUAUUAAUGUGAAUGUGAAUCUAAAGCUUUCCUCAUUCUAUUUCGUAGCAUUUCAUUUGAAUCACGUCAAACAUGUUUGUACUAGUUGUAGAAAAUCAAUUUGAUACUGGAGCUGAUAUCAUGUUUUUGAAUUGUUUCAGUUAUGGUUACCUGUGAACCCAUUACUUGUGAACUAACAAAUAUUCACCAACCGAGUCAACUGACACUUUAAACAAGUUACUUGUGGAAUAAAAAAUAUUUCAAACGGACCCUUACUUUGGUUUUACGAUCUUGUACGUGGCGAUUAAAAAUAAUUUUAACAACAUAAAAUCAGUGGUGCGCUAUAAAAACAAACUCUAAAUAAAAAAAUUAUGCGCUUAAUUAAUUUAUAAACUCCAAGAAACACGAGUUAUAAAUUAUGUGAAAUCGGUGAAAUUGGGUAAAAUUAAUGUUAACCCCAGUUACUUUUAUUUUCAUUUAAUUUGAUUUUUAAGAAACUAACUCUUUUCUCUUUUCUUUCAGUUUGUUUUUAAUUUUGAUAAUUUUAGAAACCUUAAUGAAACNNNNNNNNNNNNNNNNNNNNNNNNNNNNNNNNNNNNNNNNNNNNNNNNNNNNNNUGUAAAAUAAUAUUUAGGAUAUUUUUAAUGGUUAAAUAAAUUAAUGGUCCAUAUAGUUUUUAAAAAUUUCAUUUUUAAUCUCCAAUAAUAAUAUAGUACGGAGUAAUUAAUAUAUAGCAGCAUACUUGUGAUAAAUUGUUGGUGUGAUUUACAUGAUUUUAUAAUAAAAAAAUUAAAUAUAAAUUAAUUCGGAGGUCAACUUAAGAGGUCGAGUUUAAUACUUCGACUCAAUCCAUAUAUAUAGAAUAGCAGGUGAUGACAAAAUUAGCAAGUGUACUAAUUUAUCGUUAAGUAAUAAAUUAAAUUCGUAUCCAUAAGAAUUGUUUCAAUCUCGACAAGACAACUGUAUCGUAUUUAGGAAUGUAAAUGCAGGAGGAUUUGCUAAGCAAAGUUGAUUUAUAAAACAAUUAAAAUUAAAAGUGAUAAUUUCAAACGGUUAAAGAGAUGAUUAGAAUUUUCGAUUCACUUCCUCUUCAUGAUUUGGUAAAUGCAGUCCUAAGCUACCUUUUCACUCUUAUUGUCACGAUGAAUUAACUAAAUAGUUCAGACCAGUGUUAAGAACCCUUAUCCAUAAAAUUAGAGUUUAAUUGAUAUAUUACACGCAAAGUAAAUAAAAAUUAGUUUUACAGUUCUAUAAGGACAUAUUAUUUGUAUAAGUGGUGAAUUAGUAAAUUUGUAUUCAAUAUAUAUUAAUGCGAAUGUGAAUCUAAAGCUUUCCUCAUUCUAUUUCGUAGCAUUUCAUUUGAAUCACGUCAAACAUGUUUGUACUAGUUGUAGAAGAUCAAUUUGAUACUGGAGCUGAUAUCAUGUUUUUAAAUUGUUUCAGUUAUGGAUUGAUCCUAAACAAUUUACUACACCAUUUUAAGUCAAACAAACAACUUAAGGUUACUUGUGAAUGCCUAGGUACGGGUACGGUAUUGGUAUCCGGUACGGGUACUGAUACGUGGUACGACAUUUUUAAAAAAUUUAAGGUACGGGCACGUUGAUAUAAAAUAUUAGAAAAAUUAUUUUUAAGUGAAUUAUUAUCAUCAUGCUUUGAAGAUUUAAUUUUUUUUGUCCACGUCUCAACUAUUUUCAUAAAAAAUAAGAGAUAAUUGAAAUAUAAUAAAAAAUUAUAAUAUUUUAAGAGAUUUUUCAAUAGCCAAUAUGUUUUUUCCAUAUUCAUCAUCAUAAAUCAACCAAAUAAAAAUGGGUAGGGAAUCGGUGCGUACCAUACGAGUACCAUGGAGUAUCCGGUACUGGUACGUACCCGGUACGGGUACUUCACCAUUUUAGGAGUACCCAUGCUACAUGAACCAAUUACUUGUGAACUAACAAAUAUUCACCAACCAAGUCAACCGCUUAUAAAAAAAAAAAAAAAACCAACAUAAAAUCAGUGGCGCGCUAUAAAAACAAACUUUAAAUAAAAAAUUAUGCGCUUAAUUUAUAAACUCCAAGAAAC
rnacentral:lncRNA from 1 species